rnacentral:rRNA from 1 species
UACGUAGGGACCAAGCGUUGUUCGGAUUUACUGGGCGUAAAGGGCGCGUAGGCGGCGUGGUAAGUCAGCUGUGAAAUCUCCGAGCUUAACUCGGAACGGUCAGCUGAUACUGCUGUGCUAGAGUGCAGAAGGGGGCAAUCGGAAUUCUUGGUGUAGCGGUGAAAUGCGUAGAUAUCAAGAGGAACAUCAGUGGCGAAGGCGACACCCUGGACUCAUACUGACACUGAGGUGCGAAAGCGUGGGGAGCAAACAGG